UACGUAGGGUCCGAGCGUUGUCCGGAAUUAUUGGGCGUAAAGGGCUCGUAGGCGGUUUGUCGCGUCGGGCGUGAAAACCUUGGGCUUAACUCAGGGCUUGCUUUCGAUACGGGCAGACUAGAGGUAUGCAGGGGAGAACGGAAUUCCAGGUGUAGCGGUGAAAUGCGUAGAUAUCUGGAGGAACACCGGUGGCGAAGGCGGCAUCCUGGACCGGCAUUGACGCUGAGGAGCGAAAGCCAGGGGAGCAAACGGG
rnacentral:rRNA from 1 species